UUGAACGCUGGCGGCAUGCCUUACACAUGCAAGUCGCACGGCAGCACGGGUGCUUGCCCCUGGUGGCGAGUGGCGAACGGGUGAGUAAUACAUCGGAACAUGUCCUGUAGUGGGGAAUAGCCCGGCGAAAGCCGGAUUAAUACCGCAUACGAUCUACGGAUGAAAGCGGGGGACCUUCGGGCCUCGCGCUAUAGGGUUGGCCGAUGGCUGAUUAGCUAGUUGGUGGGGUAAAGGCCUACCAAGGCGACGAUCAGUAGCUGGUCUGAGAGGACGACCAGCCACACUGGGACUGAGACACGGCCCAGACUCCUACGGGAGGCAGCAGUGGGGAAUUUUGGACAAUGGGCGAAAGCCUGAUCCAGCAAUGCCGCGUGUGUGAAGAAGGCCUUCGGGUUGUAAAGCACUUUUGUCCGGAAAGAAAUCCUUGGCCCUAAUACGGUCGGGGGAUGACGGUACCGGAAGAAUAAGCACCGGCUAACUACGUG
rnacentral:rRNA from 1 species